GACGAACGCUGGCGGCGUGCCUAAUACAUGCAAGUAGAACGCUGAAGAGAGGAGCUUGCUCUUCUUGGAUGAGUUGCGAACGGGUGAGUAACGCGUAGGUAACCUGCCUUGUAGCGGGGGAUAACUAUUGGAAACGAUAGCUAAUACCGCAUAACAAUGGAUGACACAUGUCAUUUAUUUGAAAGGGGCAAUUGCUCCACUACAAGAUGGACCUGCGUUGUAUUAGCUAGUAGGUGAGGUAACGGCUCACCUAGGCGACGAUACAUAGCCGACCUGAGAGGGUGAUCGGCCACACUGGGACUGAGACACGGCCCAGACUCCUACGGGAGGCAGCAGUAGGGAAUCUUCGGCAAUGGGGGCAACCCUGACCGAGCAACGCCGCGUGAGUGAAGAAGGUUUUCGGAUCGUAAAGCUCUGUUGCAAGUCAAGAACGAGUGUGAGAGUGGAAAGUUCACACUGUGACGGUAGCUUACCAGAAAGGGAUGGCUAACUACGUG
rnacentral:rRNA from 1 species